GAUGAACGCUGGCGGCGUGCCUAACACAUGCAAGUCGAGCGUGAUUGAUAUGAGUGGAGACUUCGGUUGAAGCGAGUAACAUGAAAGCGGCGGACGGGUGAGUAACGCGUGGGCAACCUGCCCCAUACACGGGAAUAGCCACUGGAAACGGUGAUUAAUGCCCGAUAAGGCCACAGUACCCCAUGGUACAGCGGCCAAAGAUUUAUCGGUAUGGGAUGGGCCCGCGUCUGAUUAGCUAGUUGGUGAGGUAACGGCUCACCAAGGCGACGAUCAGGAACCGACCUGAGAGGGCGGACGGUCAAACUGGAACUGGGACACGGUCCAGACUCCUACGGGAGGCAGCAGUGGAGAAUAUUGCACAAUGGGCGCAAGCCUGAUGCAGCAACGCCGCGUGAGUGAAGAAGGCCUUCGGGUCGUAAAGCUCUGUCCUGUGGGACGAAACAAAUGACGGUACCACAGGAGGAAGCCCCGGCUAACUACGUGCCAGCCGCCGCCGUAA
rnacentral:rRNA from 1 species